CGCCCACCCCCGCCGGAGCCGCGCCCGCCCCUGACCGCCGGAGCCACGACCGCCGGAGCUGCGACUGCCAGAGCUGCGACCGCCGGAGCCGCGCCCGCCCAGCUCGGCCCUCCCCGUCGGCCACAUCUUCGAUUGCGACUGGCCAAUCUACUCGGCAUCCGUACACUUUCUGCUCCUCCAACACGUUUGCAACUGGCCAGUCUUAGAUUGGCAUGGCUCCUGCACUUCCUGCUCCUCCUUGUAUCACGGUCAUAAGGCCUAAAACCUGAAACUCUUCUUUUCAGUUUCAUACUUGUGUCUUCAAAUAAUCAAUUUAUUGUUUAUCAAUUAAUUUGGCUGUGAAGUGCUCAUUAAAUUUGGUUGCUGAUUUUUUUAUAUAUUUUGUGCUUGACAUUCAUGAUGUCUUGUGUAUAAAGCAUUUUAACAAGAGAUACUACUUUGCUAUCUAUUAGGCCCCCAUUGAAUAUUUCAGCAGUUCACUGAUGAUUGGAGAAGGUGCAUUUGGAUGUGUAUACAGAGGCGUCCUCAGAAACAUGACAGUUGAGUCACACAAAAAAAAACAUGAUAGUUACAAUAAAGGUGUUGAAACCUGAUACUUUGCAGGGAAGAUCACAGUUCGAGCAAGAGGUUGCUAUCCUGAGUAGGGUGAGGCACCCUCACCUUGUAACUCUAUUCGGAGCUCAGAAUCAUCUGCACUUGUCUAUGAGUUCUUGCCAAAUGGAAGUCUUGAAGAUUUUCUCGUCUGUGCAGAUAAAAGGAUGUCAUUAGUGAUCCACAUAUAUUGCGGCUGACGGAUUCACCUAUGAAGGCGAAGCCAUCAGGAUGUGACUCAACAGUGGCCAUGACACAUCUCCAAUGACCAACAUGCGACUAGAACACGACGAGCUCAUUCCCAAUCGUGCUCUUCGUUCCACCAUCCAGGAAUGUAAUCAGUCUCGUUGGCCGUGAUGAUACUUGUGUUUGUUAACGGUCUUCUAUUUGCACUUGUGGUUGUGAAUGAUGGAGAACUUGGAUUACUUGUGAAGUUAUUAUAAUAUAUUGUGACAUAUGACGUUUGUGA